CUCCCGCGGCCAGCCCCGGGGAUGCCUGCACGAGCUGUCGAGCUGCUCCUCGCCUCGGCUGCUUGCAAAAGAUGGGGGCGGGGAUGAAAGCUUAGACCCGCUCACUCCUGCGGGGACUUGAAAAAGGCUUUAGCGAUCCCCUUUUUACAAAUGGGGAAACUGAGGCCAUCAGAGGGGAAGUGAAUUGUCCAAGGUCUCAAAGGGCAGCAGGGGCGAGAUUCGAACCCCAGUGGUCCUACGGUUUAUUAUGUCUUACACCGGGCAGGUGGCCUUCGCAAGGGGCCCAGAGCCCAGUGGGUCUGCAGACCCAGGCAAAGGGAGAAAAAGCCCAUUGAUGGUGGUAUGGAUAUGGUCCUGGAGCUGGUCAGGAAGACCUGGGUUUGAAUUCCGUUUACUAGCAGUGUAACCCUGGGUGUUCUGUUCCCUGUCCAUCUCUACCUCUUCUCAGACCUCCCUCUUCCCUGAGACACAGUAAUAUUGAAAUUGGACCAAUUAAUGGCCCUAUAAUGGCUUCUAAGUGUUCAAGUGAAAGGAAGAGUCAAUUGAUGCGGCAGACUUCAUCGUUGUCUUAUUUUUAAAAAUUGCCACAGCCACCCCAACCAUCAGCAACCACCAGCCUGAUCAGUCAGCAGCCGUCGACAUUGACGCAAGACUUUCCAUGAUUCACUGAAGACUCAGAUGAUGCUUAGCAUGUUUUUUUUUAGCAAUAAAGUGUUUUUUUAAUUAA